GGGCCCUUGGUCUAGCUGGUUAUGACGUCGCCUUGACAUGGCGGAGGUCCUGGGUUCAAAUCCCAGAGGGCCCA
rnacentral:tRNA from 2 species